GGUUAAGUUAACAAGGGCGCAUGGUGAAUGCCUUGGCACUAGGAGCCGAUGAAGGACGGGACUAACACCGAUAUGCUUCGGGGAGCUGUACGUAAGCUAUGAUCCGGAGAUUUCCGAAUGGGGCAACCCAGCAGUUUUAAUCAACUGUUACCACUAGAUGAAUUCAUAGUCUAGUUGGAGGUAAACGCUGUGAACUGAAACAUCUCAUUAGCAGCAGGAAUAUAAAGAAAUUUCGAUUCCCUAAGUAGCGGCGAGCGAACGGGGAACAGCCCAAACCAAAGUGCUUGCACUUUGGGGUUGUAGGACUGAACAUUUGAGUUACCAAAGAACUUGAUAGUCGAAGGAUUUGGGAAAAUCCGCCAUAGAUGGUGAUAGCCCAGUAGAUUAAAUCAAAUUCUCUCAGUUCAGGAUCCUGAGUACGGCGGAACACGUGAAAUUCCGUCGGAAUCCGGGAGGACCAUCUCCCAAGGCUAAAUACUACCUAGUGACCGAUAGUGAACCAGUACCGUGAGGGAAAGGUGAAAAGCACCCCGGGAGGGGAGUGAAAUAGUUCCUGAAACCAUGUGCCUACAAUAAGUCAGAGCGCGUUAAUGCGUGAUGGCGUGCCUUUUGUAGAAUGAACCGGCGAGUUAUGAUCCCGUGCAAGGUUAAGACUAAAAAGUCGGAGCCGUAGCGAAAGCGAGUCUGAAAUGGGCGAUUUGAGUACGAGGUUAUAGACCCGAAACCAGGUGACCUAUCCAUGUCCAGGUUGAAGGUGCGGUAAAACGCACUGGAGGACCGAACCCGUGUAAGUUGAAAAUUGCUGGGAUGAGGUGUGGAUAGCGGUGAAAUUCCAAACGAACUUGGAGAUAGCUGGUUCUCUCCGAAAUAGCUUUAGGGCUAGCCUCGGAUUAAGGAUCAUGGAGGUAGAGCACUAUUUGGACUAGGGGCCCGUCUUGGGUUACUGAAUUCAGAUAAACUCCGAAUGCCAUUGAUUCAUGUCCGGGAGUCAGACGAUGAGUGAUAAGAUCCACCGUCGAAAGGGGAACAGCCCAGACCAUCAGUUAAGGUCCCUAAAUGUAUGCUAAGUGGAAAAGGAUGUGGAGUUGCAUAGACAACUAGGAUGUUGGCUCAGAAGCAGCCACCAUUUAAAGAGUGCGUAAUAGCUCACUAGUCGAGUGAUCCUGCGCCGAAAAUGUACCGGGGCUAAGCAUACUACCGAAACCAUGGAUGCGACCAUUAGGUCGCGUGAUAGGAGAGCGUUCUAAGGGCGGUGAAGCAAGAUCGUGAGGACUUGUGGAGCGCUUAGAAGUGAGAAUGCCGGUAUGAGUAGCGAAAGAUAGGUGAGAAUCCUAUCCACCGAAUGACUAAGGUUUCCUGGGGAAGGCUCGUCCUCCCAGGGUUAGUCGGGACCUAAGUCGAGGCCGAGAGGCGUAGACGAUGGAUAACAGGUUGAGAUUCCUGUACUAGUUAAGUGCGUUUGAGCAAUGGAGGGACGCAGGAGGCUAAGAUGUGCAUUCUGUUGGAUUAGGAUGUCCAAGCAGUAAGUCUUGUGGAGAGUCAAAUGCUUUUCAAUUUAAGGACAAGCUGUGAUGGGGAGCGAAAUUUAGUAGCGAAGCGUCUGAUGUCACACUGCCGAGAAAAGCUUCUAGUGAGUACUUAACUACCCGUACCGCAAACCGACACAGGUAGUCGAGGAGAGAAUCCUAAGGUGAGCGAGUGAACUCUCGUUAAGGAACUCGGCAAAAUGACCCCGUAACUUCGGGAGAAGGGGUGCUGAUCGCAAGAUCAGCCGCAGUGAAUAGGCCCAGGCGACUGUUUAUCAAAAACACAGGUCUCUGCAAAAUCGUAAGAUGACGUAUAGGGGCUGACGCCUGCCCGGUGCUGGAAGGUUAAAAGGAUGGGUUAGCUUCGGCGAAGCUCAGAAUUGAAGCCCCAGUAAACGGCGGCCGUAACUAUAACGGUCCUAAGGUAGCGAAAUUCCUUGUCGGGUAAGUUCCGACCCGCACGAAAGGCGUAACGAUCUGGGCACUGUCUCAACGAGAGACUCGGUGAAAUUAUAUUGUCCGUGAAGAUGCGGACUACCCGCGACAGGACGGAAAGACCCCAUGGAGCUUUACUGUAGCUUGAUAUUGAGUGUUUGUACAGCUUGUACAGGAUAGGUAGGAGCCAUAGAAACCGGAACGCUAGUUUCGGUGGAGGCGUUGGUGGGAUACUACCCUCGCUGUAUGACCACUCUAACCCGCACCACUAAUCGUGGUGGGAGACAGUGUCAGGUGGGCAGUUUGACUGGGGCGGUCGCCUCCUAAAAAGUAACGGAGGCGCCCAAAGGUUCCCUCAGAAUGGUUGGAAAUCAUUCGCAGAGUGUAAAGGCACAAGGGAGCUUGACUGCGAGACAGACAGGUCGAGCAGGGACGAAAGUCGGGCUUAGUGAUCCGGUGGUACCGUAUGGAAGGGCCAUCGCUCAACGGAUAAAAGCUACCCUGGGGAUAACAGGCUUAUCUCCCCCAAGAGUCCACAUCGACGGGGAGGUUUGGCACCUCGAUGUCGGCUCAUCGCAUCCUGGGGCUGUAGUCGGUCCCAAGGGUUGGGCUGUUCGCCCAUUAAAGCGGUACGCGAGCUGGGUUCAGAACGUCGUGAGACAGUUCGGUCCCUAUCCGUCGCGGGCGUAGGAAAUUUGAGAGGACCUGUCCUUAGUACGAGAGGACCGGGAUGGACAUACCUCUGGUGUACCAGUUGUGCCGCCAGGCGCAUCGCUGGGUAGCUACGUAUGGAUGUGAUAAACGCUGAAAGCAUCUAAGUGUGAAACACACCUCGAGAUGAGAUUUCCCAUUCCUUUAUGGAAGUAAGACCCCUGAAAGAUGAUCAGGUAGAUAGGUUAGAAGUGGCAGUGCGGUGACGCAUGAAGCGGACUAAUACUAAUCGGUCGAGGACUUAACCAA
rnacentral:rRNA from 1 species